UCUUGAUUAAACAAAUUGUCUUCACUUAGA
rnacentral:piRNA from 1 species